UGGGGAAUAUUGCACAAUGGGGGAAACCCUGAUGCAGCGACGCCGCGUGGAGGAAGAAGGUCUUCGGAUUGUAAACUCCUGUUGUUGAGGAAGAUAAUGACGGUACUCAACAAGGAAGUGACGGCUAACUACGUGCCAGCAGCCGCGGUAAAACGUAGGUCACAAGCGUUGUCCGGAAUUACUGGGUGUAAAGGGAGCGCAGGCGGGAGAACAAGUUGGAAGUGAAAUCCAUGGGCUCAACCCAUGAACUGCUUUCAAAACUGUUUUUCUUGAGUAGUGCAGAGGUAGGCGGAAUUCCCGGUGUAGCGGUGGAAUGCGUAGAUAUCGGGAGGAACACCAGUGGCGAAGGCGGCCUACUGGGCACCAACUGACGCUGAGGCUCGAAAGUGUGGGUAGCAAACAGGAUUAGAUACCCCUGU
rnacentral:rRNA from 1 species